CGCAACCCUAGAAAUUUCAGGCCGCAGAUUAAAAAGUUGGAGGUCCACGAAAGACAAGGAACAAAAAUAUGCUGGGACCUUUUAUUACCUCAACUAAGGCAUGACGAGGUUAUGUUCCAUCAGUUGGAUAUUGGGGACGGGGUCCAACCAAUAUCAGACCGUGGAUUAACAAUUUGGACUCCACAAGGACGGGGACAAGCGGAAAUCGACAACCUACACAGAUCUAUACAAUCUCUUAGAUCUCUCUAUACUGUGAAUAUCUAAGUAUUGUUCUGAUUCAAGGUUUCAGAACAAUUGGGUGAUCAAGCCCCGGUGUUCUCCAAGGCUAGGUACACUGUUAGAUCUUUUGGAAUCAGUCGUAAUGAAAAGAUUGCUUGUUACGUUUCUGUGAGAGGUGAGAAAGCUAUGCAACUUGUUAAAAGUGGAUUGAAGGUCAAGGAAUACGAGUUAUUGAGGAUAAACUUCAGUAAUACUGGGUAUUUUGGGUUGUUCUUGGGAAUUAAUGAAUGAAGCAUUUAGCCUAUGAGUGACGAAUGCAAAUGAGCAAGAUGGGAAGUGGCAAAGUGCUCAGGAGACACCAUAAAUGAAUCAAUAAUGAUGCUUCACCAUCGUCAUGCUCUGCAAUCCAUGUGAAUUGGUUUGAUAGAGCAGCUAGUCGAGGUGUCUACUGCUUGUACCUGCUAUAGCGAUUACUGAUAGAGGAAGUCAUUGGCGUUGAAGUGUUUUUGGCUUUUUGCUCAAGAUUGUAGCUGCAAUUAGAUUCUUGGUAAUGAACAUCCUUAUACUCACAUCUAUUUUGUCACGAAGACCAUCAAUGCUGGGUGAAUUCCAUCAAAACUGCAUGUGAUUGAGCUUGGUACCGAGCCAGGUCUGCUAAAGAACAACCCUAAGGUUAAGG